GCCAGGCAUGGUGGUGCAUGCCUGUAAUCCCAGCAACUGGAGAGGCUGAGGCAGGAGGAUCACAAGUUCCUAAACAACUCAGCAAGACUCUGUCUCUA
rnacentral:sRNA from 1 species